GCAACAAACUAUUAUAAAAUAUGAUUAAAUACCCAAUGGAAGGUAGCCCUGGUGGGCAAGACUUCACACUGAUGGGAAACUAGGAUUGGGGGGCACGCCCAUUAUGCAAAUAAAUUAUGCUGAACAUUUUGGUUUAAACUGAAAUAUUUAACUCUGUCUAUAAUAUUUUCAUAGGUUUCAUAGGUUCAUACUAGGUAAUUGAUUUCUGCUGUUGGCUGCUGCCACUGUUGGGUAACUGCAGAUCUGCAGAUAUGCAGUGCUUGUGUAUUUAAAACUAACUAAUGUGGGAAGUGAAGUGAGUACAAGUCAGCAAAGCCAUGUCUAAAAAAAUAUCCCUGUGGAGUAGAAGAAAAGGAAAAAAAGAAGCUGGAAGAAGAGAAUAAAGAGCGAGACUAAGAGCACAUUUCGACUCAAUAAAUGAUCAACCAAUGAUGGUGCCACCUCUACCAAUCAGCAGAGGAACGUUGGGUUACAAAUCCACAAGUAGCUGCUAUGUUUCAUGUGUUCUCCAGUGAAAUAGGCCCUCUGGGUAGCGCCUCUGGUGACUACUGCCCCCAAGGCUGCAGGGCUUUGGCAAGGGAAUACUGCCGUCUGGUGGAGGGUGGCAGUAUAGAAGAUCAUUUUUCAUUUGCCUUCCUGC